rnacentral:rRNA from 1 species
GAUGAACGCUGGCGGCGUGCUUAACACAUGCAAGUCGAACGGAAAGGCCCGGCUCUUGUGGGUUGCUCGAUUGGCGAACGGGGGAGUAACACGUGAGUAACCUGCCCUUGUCUGUGUGAUAACUUCAGGAAACUCGGGCUAAAACCGGAUAGGAUCUACUGCUGCGUGGGGGGGGUUGGAAAGUCUCGGCUGUUGGGGAUGUACUCGCGGCUUAUGCGCUAGUUGGUCGGGUAGGUGCUUACCAAGGCUUUGACGGGUAGCCGGCCUGAGAGCGUGGACAGCCACCAUGGGCCUGCGGGACGGAGCAGAAUGCUACGGGAGGCAGCAGUGGGGAACAUUGCACAAUGGGCGGACGUCUGAUGCAGCAACGCCGCGUGCGUGAUGACCGCCUUCGGGUUGUAAACAGCUUUCGCCUGUGACGAAGCGGGAGUGACGGUAACGGGUAAAGAAGCACCGGCUAACUACGUG